rnacentral:rRNA from 1 species
UGCUAAGGCCUCCACCCUGAAUGUGCCCGAACUGAUCUUGGAAGCUAAGCAAGCCUGGGCCUGGUUAGUACCUAGAUAGGGGACUGCCUGGAAUACCAAGAACUUUAGGUU